rnacentral:lncRNA from 1 species
AUACUUAAAAAUAAUUUUGUUUCAAUCUUAUAAUAAAUAUGAGUAUAAUUAUUUUCUAACCAUAUAUUUUGAAAAAUGUAAUUCUUAACUUGAAACAAAGACUCCUUAUAAUUUGACAUUCAAAUUGUAUUAGAGUAGUGAAAUAAUUUCAAAUUAUUAAUGUUUAAGUUAGAUAAAAUAAUAAUUCAUAAAAUUUUCAAAUUUUUC